rnacentral:misc_RNA from 1 species
CUGGUCCCCCUCAAUAUCAAACUAGAACCGUGUUUGAGAAUGCAACACCAGAGAUGGUGCGAGACUUCUUCUGGGAUGAUGAAUUUCGGGCAACUUGGGAUGACAUGCUUGCGUAUUCUGCUACGAUAGAUGACUGUCUCACUACUGGGACUAUGAUUGUGCAAUGGAUUAGAAAAUUUCCAUUAUUCUGCAGUGACAGAGAAUACAUAAUAGGCCGACGAAUAUGGGAAUCGGGUGGAUCUUAUUACUGUGUGA